UUCCAGGACUGUUUACCAAUAAGCCUGAAAAUAACUUUUUAUUUGUCGAUGUAUCCUCCCAUAACUCGAUAUUCUUUGACCACUUAGGUUGGCACUUCGUCUGUGGUGUAUCCUGCAGCAAUGUUUGCUCCUCAGGUGGCUGCAAGAGGUGUACCUGUGGCCGAGUUCAACAUGGAAAACACACCUGCCACAAUGCGUUUCAGGUUUCACUUUCAUGGACCCUGUGGGACCACCUUGCCCCCUGCACUAAGUCCCCCAAAACAACAAUGAAAACCAGAUCACUAAUCACAGAAAAGACUGGCAAAUAAUUACCAAACAUAUUUAUUUAACCAGAGCCCAGUAUGAGUAAUAAUGAUGGAGAGGUUAUUCUGUAUUAAACAGGUAUCAAACAGGACCUUUGUAAUGCAAUGUAAUAUAUAUUUUUAAUACAGGUAUGUACAUUUGUCAGACACAACAUUAGAUUUGACUGCAUAAUCUACUUUACAUACACAGCUCUUUAGUCACAUUACCGUGGUAAAUAUUAAAGUAGGAUGUACUAAUACUACUGCACUACUACAAACAACUGCAAUAAUAAACAUUUCGUUAAAUAAAUGCACAGUUCAAGCAAAAUUCAAGCAAUUUUGUAAUUGAUAAAGGUUGAAUUUGUCAUAAAAUCUUUAGUAUGGCACACAUCUUCGGGUGUAACCAUGAAAGUGUGAGGUGUGUGUGUAUUGCAGUACUGUUCAGUCAAAUUUUAUUGAUUGUGUUCCAGCAGGGGGCAGUGUUAAGCCACUGCCUAUGUUUAAAGUCCAGUUCUUACAUGUGAGGGAAUAACUUUUUUCCUUCUGGUAGAAAUUCAAGCACUAGCUUGUAAAUAUGGUGUCUGGUAAAUGUACCGUAAGGGAGAAAGACAUGUUCUGUUUGACCUAGGAAGGAAUUUGUAAAUAACAAAGACAUUUACAAUGAAAACCCAAUAUAAAAUGA